UACGUAGGGUGCGGGCGUUGUCCGGAAUUAUUGGGCGUAAAGAGCUCGUAGGCGGUGUGUCACGUCGGCCGUGAAAACCUGCAGCUUAACUGUGGGCGUGCGGUCGAUACGGGCAUCACUGGAGUUCGGCAGGGGAGACUGGAAUUCCUGGUGUAGCGGUGGAAUGCGCAGAUAUCAGGAGGAACACCGGUGGCGAAGGCGGGUCUCUGGGCAGUAACUGACGCUGAGGAGCGAAAGCGUGGGGAGCGAACAGG
rnacentral:rRNA from 1 species